rnacentral:rRNA from 1 species
CCUACGGGAGGCAGCAGUAGGGAAUCUUCCGCAAUGGACGAAAGUCUGACGGAGCAACGCCGCGUGAGUGAAGAAGGUUUUCGGAUCGUAAAACUCUGUUGUUAGGGAAGAACAAGUGCCGUUCGAAUAGGGCGGCGCCUUGACGGUACCUAACCAGAAAGCCACGGCUAACUACGUGCCAGCAGCCGCGGUAAU